rnacentral:rRNA from 1 species
CCUAACACAUGCAAGUCGAGCGGCAGCGGGAAGUAGUUUACUACUUUGCCGGCGAGCGGCGGACGGGUGAGUAAUGUCUGGGAAACUGCCUGAUGGAGGGGGAUAACUACUGGAAACGGUAGCUAAUACCGCAUAACGUCUUCGGACCAAAGUGGGGGACCUUCGGGCCUCACGCCAUCGGAUGUGCCCAGAUGGGAUUAGCUAGUAGGUGGGGUAAUGGCUCACCUAGGCGACGAUCCCUAGCUGGUCUGAGAGGAUGACCAGCCACACUGGAACUGAGACACGGUCCAGACUCCUACGGGAGGCAGCAGUGGGGAAUAUUGCACAAUGGGCGCAAGCCUGAUGCAGCCAUGCCGCGUGUGUGAAGAAGGCCUUCGGGUUGUAAAGCACUUUCAGCGAGGAGGAAGGCAUAAAGGUUAAUAACCUUUGUGAUUGACGUUACUCGCAGAAGAAGCACCGGCUAACUCCGUGCCAGCAGCCGCGGUAAUACGGAGGGUGCAAGCGUUAAUCGGAAUUACUGGGCGUAAAGCGC